AAAUAUCUCUUAAUUGUUUGGU
rnacentral:miRNA from 1 species